rnacentral:rRNA from 1 species
UGGGGAAUAUUGCACAAUGGAGGGAACUCUGAUGCAGCGACGCCGCGUGAACGAAGAAGGCUUUCGAGUCGUAAAGUUCUUUUAUAUGGGAAGAUAAUGACGGUACCAUAAGAAAAAGCCCCGGCUAACUACGUGCCAGCAGCCGCGGUAAUACGGAAGGUCCAGGCGUUAUCCGGAUUUAUUGGGUUUAAAGGGAGCGUAGGCUGGAGAUUAAGUGUGUUGUGAAAUGUAGACGCUCAACGUCUGAAUUGCAGCGCAUACUGGUUUCCUUGAGUACGCACAACGUAGGCGGAAUUCAUGGUGUAGCGGUGAAAUGCUUAGAUAUCAUGAAGAACUCCGAUUGCGAAGGCAGCUUACGGGAGCGCAACUGACGCUGAAGCUCGAAGGUGCGGGUAUCGAACAGG